AUUAAAGAAAGGGGUCAUUAUUGAUAUAAGAUUGCUUUUAAAGAUGGAUUGUUGGCCUACAUAGUUUUGUUUAAAGGCUAAGUAGAGUUUUUUACAAAAGUACAACAUUACAUAAAUGCAAAAACCCCAACAGCAACAACUUAUGAAUUCCCAUGCUACCACAUACGGGAACUACACUUCUGCAUAACUAGCUGGGCCAUUGGGGUUUUAAAAAACUUGUCGUUGUGCUUUUUGCAAUAAUUUUUGAGCAAAAUAUUACAAAUGGGACGUAAAAUAAAAUCCAGAAUUUUGUCUGAAGAAUGCUUGGAGCAUUGAUGGUCCAAAAACAAGUUGUCGACUGAUUCCCCAAUGGAUUUUGCUGCUAAAGUUUUGAUGCAUAUGAAGCAUAGCCUGCCACAUACACUAAAACUGGCCACGUAUCGUCAUCAAUUUCAUUUAAAUCGUCGUCACUCACAAAACAAUUGUUCAUCAGUGGAGCUGAUAUGGACGUUUCAGGAUUAGCUACAUUAAAAACUUCGUCGG